rnacentral:misc_RNA from 1 species
GAUGAAGAACGUAGCGAAAUGCGAUACGUAAUGUGAAUUGCAGAAUUCAGUGAAUCAUCGAAUCUUUGAACGCAUAUUGCGCUCUUUGGUAUUCCGAAGAGCAUGCUUGUUUGAGUAUCAGUAAACACCUCAACCUCUUCUUGAUUUUUCAAAAGGAGGGUGGACUUGAGCUAUCCCAACAACCUUUACCGGUCGGCGGGCGGCUUGAAAUGCAGGUGCAGCUGGACUUUUAUCUGAGCUAAAAGCAUAUCUAUUUAGUCCUCGUCAAACAGGAUUAUUACUUUUGCUGCAGCUAACAUAAAAGAUAAUUGUCCUCUUUGCUGACUGAUGCAGGAUUUUACGACACUUUAUGUGUUGUUCAACUCGAUCUCAAAUCAAGUAAGACUACCCGCUGAACUUAAGCAUAUCAAUAAGCGGAGGA